GAGAUUGUAGCUCAGCGGUAGAGCACUCACCUAGCACAUGUGAGGCCCUGGGUUCAAUCCUCAGCACCACA
rnacentral:tRNA from 1 species